GUGCUCAGUUCUGUGACACAUAUACUGAAAUUGGAAUGAUUCAGAGAUUAACAUGGCCCCUCCACAAGGAUGACAAAUAAAUCUGUGAACUGUGAUUAUUUCCC